GAGUUUGAUCGUGGCUCAGGAUAAACGCUGGCGGCGUGCUUCAGGCAUGCAAGUCGAACGGACCUUCGGGUCAGUGGCGGACGGGUGAGUAACACGUAAGUAACCUGCCCAGAAGUGGGGAAUAACUAGCCGAAAGGCUGGCUAAUACCGCAUGUGAUGGUUGUUCUCUGGAGCAAUCAUGAAAGGCGAAAGUCGCUUCUGGAGGGGCUUGCGGCCAAUUAGCUAGUUGGUGGGGUAAAGGCCUACCAAGGCUUCGAUCGGUAGCUGGUCUGAGAGGACGGACAGCCACACGGGGACUGAGAUACGGCCCGACUCCUACGGGAGGCAGCAGCUAGGAAUCUUGGGAAUGGGCGAAAGCCUGACCCAGCAACGCCGCGUGGGCGAUGAAGGCCUUCGGGUCGUAAAGCCCUUUUGCAGGGGACGAUGAUGACGGUACCCUGCGAAUAAGCCACGGCUAACUACGUGCCAGCCGCCGCAGUAAC
rnacentral:rRNA from 1 species